UUAGAGUUUGAUCCUGGCUCAGGGUGAACGCUAGCGGCGUGCCUUAAGCAUGCAAGUCGAACGAGAAGCAAUUCUAGUGGCAGACGGGUGAGUAACGCGUAGGAAUCUACCCUAAAGUGGGGAAUAACUAGCCGAAAGGUUAGCUAAUACCGCAUGUGAUAGCAAUAUUAAAGUCCUUUACUGGACGCUUUAGGAUGAGCUUACGUCCCAUCAGCUUGUUGGUAGGGUAAAGGCCUACCAAGGCUAUGACGGGUAGCUGGGCUGAGAGGUCGGCCAGCCACAAUGGCACUGAGACACGGGCCAUACAUCUACGGAUGGCAGCAACUGGGAAUCUUUGGCAAUGGACGAAAGUCUGACCAAGCGACGCCGCGUGAAGGAUGAAGGCCUUCGGGUUGUAAACUUCUUUUGCCAAAUCGUCGAGGUUUGGAGAAUAAGCACCUGCUAACUACGUGCCAGCAGCCGCGGUGAUACGUAGGGUGCAAGCGUUACCCGGAUUUAUUGGGCGUAAAGCGUGCGCAGGCGGUUUGGAAAGUCACUAUUGAAAUUUCAGGGCUCAACCCUGAGUCUGGUGGUGAUACUUUCAAGCUCAGAUUACUUGAGGGGGUACCGGAACAGUUAGUGGAGCAGUGAAAUGCGUUGAGAUUAACUGGAACACCAAAGGCGAAGGCAGGUACCUGGCAAGUCAAUGACGCUGUUGCACGAAAGCGUGGGGAGCAAAACGGAUUAGAUACCCGUGUAGUCCACGCUGUAAACUAUGGACACUAGAUAUCAGGCUGGUUGACGGCUUGGUGUCGUAAGCUAACGCGUUAAGUGUCCCGCCUGGGGAGUACGGCCGCAAGGCUAAAACUUAAAGGAAUUGGCGGGGACCCGCACAAGUAGAGGAACGUGUGGUUUAAUUCGAGACAAAACGAAGAACCUCACCAGGGUUUGAAAUGUUAGUUUUAGGAUCCUGAAAGGGAAACGAACCGCAAGGUAGCUAACACAGGUGCUGCAUGGCUGUCGUCAGCUCGUGUCGUGAGAUGUCGCCUUAAGUGGCUCAACGAGCGCAACCCUCAUCAUUAGUUGUAUCACUCUAGUGAAACCGCCCCGCGAUGUGGAUUUCUGAAUAAUUAGGAAUCUAGAUCGCGGGGAGGAAGGCGAGGACGACGUCAAGUCAUCAUAGCCCUUAUGUCCUGGGCUACACACACGUUACAAUGCAUAACACAAUGGGCUGCAAAGCCGCGAGGUGGAGCUAAUCCCCUAAAGUUAUGCUCAGUUCAGAUUGUAGUCUGCAAUUCGACUGCAUGAAGAUGGAUUUACUAGUAAUCGCAGGUCAGCAUACUGCGGUGAAUACGUUCUCGGGUCUUGUACACACCGCCCGUCAAGUAGGGAAAGUUGGGGGCACCCGAAGGGUCAAUUUAGGCACUAAGGUGAACUCAGCAAUCAAUGCUAAGUCGUAACAAGGUAACC
rnacentral:rRNA from 1 species